AAAGAACAUGAGGUUUGUCUGUAUACAUUAUUCUAUGUGAUCUGUUAUUGAGACAGAAACUAUCUAUGAAAUAGGGAAAAAUCUCUCCAGUAAUGAUUAUCGUAACUGUGCAAGUGUGAUAAAUAUGUAAAAUUUAGGAUUUUCCCUCUUGGCAUCUUCAUAAACUUUUAUGAUGAAUUCAAAUUAUGUAUUAACCUGCAUAUAUUUCUGAAAGUAAAAUUUGCUGAAAAAGAUAUAUUACCAGUUGCCCAAAACCCUUGUAAUAGUGCUUUUCAAUGGAGAAUGAGUGGUACUCACAAUCUUAGAUAUUUUUAACAAAGCCAAGCUUCCUUUAGCUAUUUGGCACUAAUGUUAAAGGAGAUUAAGGAGUUAAUAUUUGUGUGGUUUUGUUCUGAAAUAGUUUGAACAUUGUUGUACUGUUUUGUAGGCCUAAGCUGCUAAUCUACUUUCUCAAAAUUCUUUCAACUUUUUGAAUAUGGAAGUUCAUGGGUGAUUAUGGAUUAUAUUUUGGUACCGGACAAAAUUAAGCAAAACUCGGCCUGUGCUUUAACAUGUGGCAUGCACUGGAUGGUGGAUACAACAUGCUUCAUUUUUUAUGUCUUGAUAUGAGUUUUCUUUUGACUAUUUAAAUGCAUAUGACUUUCUUGAGAUGCUGUGCUCCUUUCAAGCUUACCUGUUAUUUCUUCGUGUUUGGCUGGGAAUAUAACCUGUUGCUGUGUAAAUUUUUUGCAGAUCAGGACGAGCACA
rnacentral:misc_RNA from 1 species